rnacentral:rRNA from 1 species
UACAGAGGGGGCAAGCGUUAUUCGGAAUUAUUGGGCGUAAAGGGCGCGUAGGCGGCCGCGCAAGUCUCGGGUGAAAUCCCUCGGCUCAACCGAGGAACUGCCCCUGGAAACUGCGCGGCUCGAGGCCGGGAGAGGAUGGUGGAAUUCCUGGUGUAGCGGUGAAAUGCGCAGAUAUCAGGAAGAACACCCGUGGCGAAAGCGGCUCUCUGGAACGGUACUGACGCUGAGACGCGAAAGCGUGGGGAGCGAACAGG